AACAUCGGGGCAAGACC
rnacentral:misc_RNA from 1 species